GCAUAGUGUGCUCAGUAUGCAGAUCGAAACAAAAUGACUUCAGUUACUGUCCCAGUUAAUGCUCCUUGUUCUUUAUCGCGUUUCACACAAGGCUAUCACCUCCCUCCUCUGAUGAAAACUGCAGUUUUUCUAAGGAAAUGCAUCAUAUCCCCGAGGACUGCAGUAAUAGUAAUGGAGAAGGAAACAGACGAAAAUAUAAUGGUGAGUAUUAAGAAGAAUUUGUUGGAUUUUUUUUUCAGAAGUCCUGUAAAAUCUAAU
rnacentral:lncRNA from 1 species